CACGUAGGCACCAAGCGUUGUCCGGAUUUAUUGGGCGUAAAGAGCUCGUAGGCGGCUUGUCACGUCUGCUGUGAAAACUCGGGGCUCAACCCCGAGCCUGCAGUGGAUACGGGCUAGCUAGAGUGCGGUAGGGGAGACUGGAAUUCCUGGUGUAGCGGUGAAAUGCGCAGAUAUCAGGAGGAACACCGGUGGCGAAGGCGGGUCUCUGGACCGAUACUGACGCUGAGGAGCGAAAGCGUGGGGAGCGAACAGG
rnacentral:rRNA from 1 species